rnacentral:rRNA from 1 species
UGCUGGAGGUAUCAGAAGUGCGAAUGCUGACAUAAGUAACGAUAAAGCGGGUGAAAAGCCCGCUCGCCGGAAGACCAAGGGUUCCUGUCCAACGUUAAUCGGGGCAGGGUGAGUCGACCCCUAAGGCGAGGCCGAAAGGCGUAGUCGAUGGGAAACGGGUUAAUAUUCCCGUACUUGGUGUUACUGCGAAGGGGGGACGGAGAAGGCUAUGUUGGCCGGGCGACGGUAGUCCCGGUUUAAGCGUGUAGGUGUGUGUUCCAGGCAAAUCCGGUUCACUUUAACACUGAGGCGUGAUGACGAGGCACCACGGUGCUGAAGCAACAAAUGCCCUGCUUCCAGGAAAAGCCUCUAAGCAUCAGGUAACAUCAAAUCGUACCCCAAACCGACACAGGUGGUCAGGUAGAGAAUACCAAGGCGCUUGAGAGAACUCGGGUGAAGGAACUAGGCAAAAUGGUGCCGUAACUUCGGGAGAAGGCACGCUGACACGUAGGUGAAGUGAUUUACUCAUGGAGCUGAAGUCAGUCGAAGAUACCAGCUGGCUGCAACUGUUUAUUAAAAACACAGCACUGUGCAAACACGAAAGUGGACGUAUACGGUGUGACGCCUGCCCGGUGCCGGAAGGUUAAUUGAUGGGGUCAGCGCAAGCGAAGCUCCUGAUCGAAGCCCCGGUAAACGGCGGCCGUAACUAUAACGGUCCUAAGGUAGCGAAAUUCCUUGUCGGGUAAGUUCCGACCUGCACGAAUGGCGUAAUGAUGGCCAGGCUGUCUCCACCCGAGACUCAGUGAAAUUGAACUCGCUGUGAAGAUGCAGUGUACCCGCGGCAAGACGGAAAGACCCCGUGAACCUUUACUAUAGCUUGACACUGAACAUUGAGCCUUGAUGUGUAGGAUAGGUGGGAGGCUUUGAAGCGUGGACGCCAGUCUGCGUGGAGCCGACCUUGAAAUACCACCCUUUAAUGUUUGAUGUUCUAACGUGGACCCGUAAUCCGGGUUGCGGACAGUGUCUGGUGGGUAGUUUGACUGGGGCGGUCUCCUCCUAAAGAGUAACGGAGGAGCACGAAGGUUGGCUAAUCCUGGUCGGACAUCAGGAGGUUAGUGCAAUGGCAUAAGCCAGCUUGACUGCGAGCGUGACGGCGCGAGCAGGUGCGAAAGCAGGUCAUAGUGAUCCGGUGGUUCUGAAUGGAAGGGCCAUCGCUCAACGGAUAAAAGGUACUCCGGGGAUAACAGGCUGAUACCGCCCAAGAGUUCAUAUCGACGGCGGUGUUUGGCACCUCGAUGUCGGCUCAUCACAUCCUGGGGCUGAAGUAGGUCCCAAGGGUAUGGCUGUUCGCCAUUUAAAGUGGUACGCGAGCUGGGUUUAGAACGUCGUGAGACAGUUCGGUCCCUAUCUGCCGUGGGCGCUGGAAGACUGAGGGGGGCUGCUCCUAGUACGAGAGGACCGGAGUGGACGCAUCACUGGUGUUCGGGUUGUCAUGCCAAUGGCACUGCCCGGUAGCUAAAUGCGGAAAAGAUAAGUGCUGAAAGCAUCUAAGCACGAAACUUGCCC